rnacentral:rRNA from 1 species
GCAGCAGGCGCGAAAACUUUACAAUGCGGGAAACCGUGAUAAGGGGACACCGAGUGUCAGCAUCAUAUGCUGGCUGUCCGGAUGUGUAAAAUACAUCCGUUAGCAAGGGCCGGGCAAGACCGGUGCCAGCCGCCGCGGUAACACCGGCGGCCCGAGUGGUGAUCGUGAUUAUUGGGUCUAAAGGGUCCGUAGCCGGUUUGGUCAGUCCUCCGGGAAAUCUGAUAGCUCAACUAUUAGGCUUUCGGGGGAUACUGCCAGACUUGGAACCGGGAGAGGUAAGAGGUACUACAGGGGUAGGAGUGAAAUCUUGUAAUCCCUGUGGGACCACCUGUGGCGAAGGCGUCUUACCAGAACGGGUUCGACGGUGAGGGACGAAAGCUGGGGGCACGAACCGGAUUAGAUACCCGGGUAGUCCCAGCCGUAAACGAUGCUCGCUAGGUGUCAGGCAUGGCGCGACCGUGUCUGGUGCCGCAGGGAAGCCGUGAAGCGAGCCACCUGGGAAGUACGGCCGCAAGGCUGAAACUUAAAGGAAUUGGCGGGGGAGCACAACAACGGGUGGAGCCUGCGGUUUAAUUGGACUCAACGCCGGAAA